UACGGGGGGGGCAAGCGUUGUUCGGAAUUACUGGGCGUAAAGCGCACGUAGGCGGACAUUUAAGUUGGAGGUGAAAGCCUUGGGCUCAACCCAAGAAUUGCCUUUGAUACUGGAUGUCUCGAGACCGGGAGAGGUGAGUGGAAUUCCGAGUGUAGAGGUGAAAUUCGUAGAUAUUCGGAAGAACACCAGUGGCGAAGGCGGCUCACUGGCCCGGUUCUGACGCUGAGGUGCGAAAGCGUGGGGAGCAAACAGG
rnacentral:rRNA from 1 species